rnacentral:other from 21 species
CGCUAUCAUCAUUAACUUUAUUUAUUACCGUCAUUCACUUCUGAAUGUCUGUUUACCCCUAUUUCAACCGGAUGCUUCGCAUUCGGUUUUUUUU